GGUUCCUUCCUCUGGUUUUGCAAAGUGGCUACUGUGUCAUCUUUGUUCAUUGGAUGGAAGAGAGCAAGGGGCUAUGUCUACACUCUGUGUUCUGAAACCCAUGAGCACUCAGAAUGAUUAAUAGCCUGACAUCG
ensembl:snoRNA